rnacentral:rRNA from 1 species
AUACGGAGGGUCCAAGCGUUAUCCGGAAUCAUUGGGUUUAAAGGGUGCGCAGGCGGUUUAUUAAGUCAGUGGUGAAAUCUCGGGGCUCAACCUCGAAACUGCCAUUGAUACUGAUAAACUUGAGUUCAGUUGGAGUAGGCGGAAUGUGUAGUGUAGCGGUGAAAUGCUUAGAUAUUACACAGAACACCGAUAGCGAAGGCAGCUUACUAAACUGAUACUGACGCUGAGGCACGAAAGCGUGGGGAGCGAACAGGAUUAGAAACCCUUGUAGUCC